GGGGUACGGGGGUUUGGGCCCAGUUCUGGAUUUCCCCUGGACCUCAAUUACUGAGAUAAGAAAUGAAAGGCCCUCGGGGCUGGUGGUGCCUGCCUGUGACCCCAGCCCUUCAGGAGCUGGGCAGGAAGCUGGCAAGCCGGAUGCCACCCUUGGCCACCCAGUGAGUCCCUACCUCAAACAACACGAAAAAGGGGGCUGGAGGGGGACCUAAGUGGGGUCAUUGCUUAGAGUGUGCACAGCCCUGGGCCCCCUCCUCAGCACCACGAAAAAUAAGAAUUAAAAAGCCUUUGGAGUUGUCCAGCUCACUGACCUUGUUUGAGGCUCAGAGAGAGGGACCCCUGUGGUCACACAGCAAGGCAGGGACAGAACUGGGGGUUCUGCAGCCUGGGCAUUUGGAGCAAGUUCCCCUUGGAGAGGACACAGUGGGAGCCGUCUCCCAGCUGGGUUGCUUGGUGCUGGGUUGCUCAGUGCUGGGUACCUGGUGCUGGGUUGCUCUGUGCUGGGUUGCUCAGUGCUGGGUACCUGGUGCUGGGUUGCUCGGUGCUGGGUCUGAACUCCAAACAGCCCAGCCGAUGGUGGUAAUAAUGACAGCUUCCACUGUCAACCAUGCCGGGGGCUGUGUGUAACUUUUCCCUCCUGGACCUGUGAAGAUAAGCCCAGCAGUCCCACAUCUUGGAGCUGGACACCAAGGCUCAGAGGGGCAAUCCAUGUCAUUAUUUGUCAAGACCCUCCCGACCAGGAAGUGGCAGUGCUACGAUUUUAACCCACAUGAGUGUAACUCCAAGGCUCAAACCCUUCCCCUGGAUUACUAACCCCAAUUAACAUGUAUGUGCCCAUUUUUCAGACGAGAAAACCGAGUAGUGGUGACAAGCCCUCUCUCUGGGGCCGCUUUAGCUUUACAAGAACUCAGAGCCGGGACACUCUGGUGCCUGUGGCCCAAAGAUGAAGACAAAGCCUUGCUGGUGCCUGCUCACUUGACCUUCGAUGCCCAGUGUCCACGGUGACUGGGUUUCUCCCAGAUGUCUCUGCUGUCCCGGCAUUCUCUUCAACCCCCUUCCCCUUUCCUGUCUCCGUCCCUCUACACUUCAAUAUUUGGGGUCAAGCUAAAGGAGCCUAGAAGAACUAAUUCCAACCUCAGCUUAGUCAUUUACUUGCUGUGUGACCUUGGGCAACUCACUUAACCUCCCUGGGUCUCACUUUGCUCAGCUGUCAAGUGGGAAAAGUUUUGUCUAAGUCUGAGCCUAUGACUGGCCAUGCAUAUUGGUUAGAAGGAAAGGGGAUAUUUAUUGUGCCCCUACCAUUUGUCACACCUGGCAUGAGAUAUUGGGGACCCUGAAGUGGGCCAAGCAGACACUUCCUGGGUAUGUUUCUGGGACGGUGGACGGAGGACGGUGUGGUGCAGGAGGUGGAGUAACGGGUUUUGUCAGUGUGGGCAGAAGAUGAGGGCCAUAAACCAGGAGGAAGGGUGGGAAUGACUAAUCUGAUAGGAGAGGGAGAAGAGCCCCGGCCUCGGCUGUAAGCGAUGGAUCAGGACUGGAACCGAGUCUGAUUUCGGGGCGCCUGGUCCCGCCGUCCCCAGCCCUGCAGAGAGCCCCGCCCACAGGAGAUUAAAGUCCCACUAGCGUCCGGACGUGUUCAGGGGGCUAGGUCUGUCCCCUGUAGUGCAAGUCCCCACCCCAGCACGAGCUGGAAGGAGCUGGGGCAGGAGUCGCCCCGCCCCCAGAGGCAGGGGGAGGGGUCGCCUCAAGGCCCCGCCCCCAGGUGUCCGGGCCGGGAGCCGCGGGGCCUCUCCUGCCAGCUCGGUGCUGAGCCUGGCCAGCGGGGCCCCAGUCUCGGUCCGGCUCUGGCUUCAGCCUCUCCAGUCCCCAAACCUGGGCAGCGCCCGCGUGCCAAAGGAGCCGCUGGGGCGCGGGAGGGGUCCAGGACGCAGCCGGCUCUUGGGAAACCUGGUGAAUUCUGCAGCGCACUCCUCCUCCUCCUCCUCCUCCUCCUCCUCCUCCUCCUCCUCCUCCUUAGGUGUAGGUCUCUCUCUCUCUCUCUCUCUCUCUCUCUCUCUCUCUCUCUCUCUCUCUCUGCCUCCAUCCCUAUCCCUCUCUCUGCAUAAUCUGUCCCUUCUAUUUCUGGCUGAUACAAGGGCCACUUGGCGUCCAGGGUCUACACUGCAGACUGCUCACAACCCACCUCUGUGGGUGGCGGAAACCCAGAAGCUGGCCCAGCUGACCUUGCUGCGGGCCUGAGGAGUGCAGGCUCCCCUCCUCCCUCCCCAGAGCAGCUGAGCAAACACAGGAGUGUGGGGGGGUGGGGUGGGAGCAGAAGAGCUGGGGACAGACCCCAGGGGAGGGCGGGCUGAGACCUGAGUGCAAGGUGAGGUCUCUGCAGAAGACAGUGGACCCAGCGGUGCUGGAAGCCAGGUAUGGUGGCUCUCAUCUGGAAUCCCAGCAACUCGGGAGGCUGAGACAGGAGGCUCUUGAGUUGAAGGCCAGCCUGGGCCAUUUAGCAAGACCCUAUCUCAAAAUGAAAAGGGCUGGGGGUGUGGCUCAGCGGUGGAGCACCCCUGGGUUCAGUCCCCACUACGGAGGGGGGGGAAGCCAAGUCGAAUGACCAGUCCCGUGGUCGGGCUGGGCCCUGGGGACCCUUCCCCAUGCACAAGCUGUCCAUCUCCAAAUGGCCUCCACAUCUAGUGGAGAGGCUCCUGUUCAUCAUAAAUGGCCACUGGAUGAGUGAGCUGGGUCUGGGCUAGGCCAGGAGGCCCUAGGAGGAGGCAUUUCAGAGCAAGGUCUGGGGAGACAGGAAGGGAUGGCCCCCACCAAGGAGCUGGGGCCAGAAGGGGCCUGGGCGGCACCAGCCCCGCCACCUCAGCCGGGGGGAGGUUCUUUCCGGCCUCCCUCUGUCCACCCCACCCCCACCCCAUGGUGACUUCCUUGUUUAAGGCUCCCACCGCCUCCCACCCCCACCCCAGUAACCAGAGCCCGGAUCUCUGCCCAGCUCCAGAUCCUCUUGCUGGGACCUCCCCUGGGCUGUGGUUUUAGCAAACAAUUUGGAACCUUCUGAGGCCUGGCAGAGGAGGCCUCCUGCACUCCUUCUCAGGGGGCUUAAGAUGCUCUGGCCCUGGGAUAAGAGCAACAGGGCAGGCAGUAGAGAAGGCCGCGGGGAGGGGCCACAUUUGUGACCUCAGCUGUGUGAUGCGAAAGGUGAGCUUGGAAAUGGAGCAGGGGGUCCUGGUGCUCUAUAGAUCAGGUCCAUGGACUCCCAUCUGCUCUGCACACAGCCCUGGGACUGUAACGUAUCACAGAUGAAUGGGUUGAAGCCAGAGAGGGUAAGUAACUUACCAAAGGACACACAGCAGAAAAUACAAGGAUCGGUAUAUGGACUCCAGAGUUCCUGCUUGUAAGCGCAGGGCACACUGACUCCAGGGGGGUAAAGGCCUGGGCAGGGUUGGUGAAUAGCAGAUGUUUGAAGGGCAGGGCACAGGAAGACGGGCCCAGACAGGUGGGCAGGGUCCAGGUCAGGUGGCGCCUUAGAGGACAUGUUCCUGACUAUGGAACUUCCAGGUAGGACGUUCUUUGGAGAAACGGUUUGCUGCUGACAGAUACACUGGAAGCCCCUGGGCUAGCUGACUGGAGAGCCCUCUGGCAGGAAGAUUUCCGGGUGGCCUCUGCUCAGAUCAGCGGGGCAGUGGGCGCCCAGUCCUAUCUGAGGUUUUGCUCAGUCCAGUCCAGAAGCGUGAUGAGCAGGGGACAGUAGGACUCUGAGCCAGGAUGGAGAGUCCUUCCUACCCAGACCCUAACACCACCCUGCAACCAGGAGACCCUGGGCAGGUCACCUGAGCACUCUGAGUCUCACACACCAGUCGCCUGUCCCCCUGGCCUGUCAGAGGAUCAGCAUGGCAGUGGUCCUCUGUGACCCAUCCCAGUGACCCACCCACUAGGCACAAGUGACACCCUCUUUAGACAGUUCCUGAGAAAAUGACGAGAGUGCCAGGUCUCUGUAUCUGGGUGGCCUUUGACAACCUGAAGAAACACAGUGGCACCUGACUCCAUCGACCCUCACACAGGCCCAGAAGCCAGCGGGGCACGUUCUGGUCCCAUCAGAAUAAGAGGCUCUUGUCAUGUCAUUGGAGCAACCGAGACACCCACAGGGAGGGAUUCCUGUGAGCAAGGGGCGCUCCCCCCUCAAAGGAAUGCACCUGCAGGCUGUCACCUUCAUAGUCUUGCUGUCUCCUCCCAAACCCAGAUUGGAAUCCCAACAACAAUAACGAUAAUAAAUGGCCGUAAUUAUAAAAGAGCACAGUAAUUAUUUUUUUAAGAGAGAGAGAGAAUUUUUUUUAAUAUUUAUUUAUUUAUUUUUUUUAGUUUUCGGCGGACACAACAUCUUUGUUUGUUUGUGGUGCUGAGGAUCGAACCCGGGCCGCACGCAUGCCAGGCGAGCACACUACCGUUUGAGCCACAUCCUCAGCCCAAGCACAGUAAUCAUAACUGCUUCUAGCAGGACAGGGUGGUGCAUACCUGUAAUCUCUGUGACUCGGGAGGCUGGGGCAGGAGGAUUGCAUAUUCAAGGCCAGCCUCAGCAACUCAGUGAGGCCCUAAGUAAUGUGGAGAAACCCUGUCUCUAAAUAAAAUAUAAGGGCUACGGUGUGGGGCUGGGGACAUAGCUCAGUUGGCAGAGAGCUUGCCUAGCAUGUACAAGGUCCUGGGUUCAAUCCCCAGCAACACCCAAAAGGGGGGGGGGGGCUGAGGAUGUGGCUCAGUGGUAAAGCACCCGAAUUAGGUGAUUCAGUCCUCAGGACCUUCUAUCCAUGAAGUAGGGACAUUGCUGUUCUCACUUUGCAGGUGACAAAGCAAAGGCUCAAGGACAUUCAGGAAGAGGCGGAUCCUGGCUUUGAACCUAAGACCAGCCCCUGGCACCAAGACCCCCAGCAUGAAUCCCCACCCAGCUAUGGGGGUGGCGGUAGGGGGGUGCCCCACUGUACUUGACUCUCUGUCUCCCACUGCCCUCAGCAUUUUGCUUUGUGCAUGCCUGAGGGUCCCGUGCCAAUCAGGUGAUGUAAACCCUGUCGUCCUUCCAGUGCCGAGGGCGGAGCCCAGAGCCUCACGUGUGCCAGGCCUGCGCUCUACCACUGAGCCCACCGGACCUUCCCGGGGCUUCAGAGGGUUGGGAUCAGGGGGGUGAGAAAGAGUGGAAAGAGUGGGCUGUGAGCUCACACCUGGAUUUGGACUUCAGCUUCAUCUCUGUCAUAUCUGUCCGUGUGUCUCUGUCUCUCUCUCUCUGUCAUUGAUAGUCGGGCACCGGACCCCUGAGCCACCUCGCCAGCCCUACUUUGAUUGGUAUUUAGAGACAGGUCUCUCUGAUGCUUGGCAGCUCGCCAUUGCUGAGGCUGGCUGGGAACUCAGGUCACCACACUGGCUCAGCUUCAUCUCUUAAGGGUCAAGUGUGACCAUGACCUUGACAUCCUCAUGGGUUUUAUUUCACACUGAAUCCCCCUCAUCCAGGAGGGAAAAUAAAGCAGCCAGGCCACAGGCCUUGGAAGAACACAAAGCGUGGCCCCGAGGGCUUCUCACCCGAGUUCCAGGAACCAGGAACCGUGGGCAGCUGGGCUCUGGCAUGGAGGUCGCAGGUGAGUCAAGGUCGUGAAUAGCUGCCCUCCACGCGUGGACAUUUCCCAGAUUUCCUGUGUCGUCACAAGUGUUCUUAAACAUGGAAGAGGGGGACAGAGGAGGGUCAGAAGAGUGUGGCAUUGGUGUCCCUGAGGACAGAAGAAGGGCCUCUAGCAGCCAGCAAAGACAAGGAGGCAGAUCCUCCCGAGUCAGGAGCCCAUGGGAACCAAGCAGCCUCUGCCUUACCUGUGGCUCCUGAGACCUGUUGACCCCCGCACACACACCACCCCCCACUGAAAG
rnacentral:lncRNA from 1 species